UAGAACUUGGAAGUCAUUUAGUUUUGGAGAAGGAACUUUCGGAAGAAAUAUUAAGAAUUCAUGUCAAUGACACUCUUUCUCUAGGAGCUGGAUAGUAAUGAAAUAAAUAUGAUGAAAAUGUAGAAAUUUCUACAGACUGACUUAGAGACUACCCUAUGGUAUCUUUGAUGAAACAGUAGACCAAACAAUCUUCGAAUUCAUACUUCAGCUCUGACUUAGAAUGGCUUCAAACAACAUUGGCAUCAUGAACCUUGCUACAGGGAAUAAGAUGAAAACAGGAUGGGUUUGGGAGCAAAUGGCUCACCAGAUAGAGGAGCUGAACAGGCAGAUCAUAGAGGAGAGACAAAAUACAAGAAGGUAAGAAAAGAGAAAAUUAAAGAGAGGGAAAAAGAAUAAAAAGGAAGGGAAAUAUACAGAGAAGAGAGAGGACACAAAGUUAUAAAAUGAAAAAAAAAAGUAAAAUGAUAUGAAAAUGUAAAGGAA